AAGACUAUAGACCUGCGGAGUACCUGCGGAAGGAUCAUUAUUGAAUUAUGUCUCUAAAUGGGUUGUAGCUGGCUCGUCAGAGCAUGUGCACGCCUGUUUGGACUUCAUUUUCAUCCACCUGUGCACCUAUUGUAGUCUUUGGUUGGGUAUCAAGGAAGUGGUCAGCCUAUCAGCACUUGCUGGAUGUGAGGACUUGCAGUGUGAAAGCUUUGCUGUCCUUUACUUGAUCAUGGAGUUGUU
rnacentral:misc_RNA from 1 species